UGUGUCAGGUAGAAAUCAACCUUAUGUCAGUGCAUUACAUGUACAUGCAAAAGACUGAUUGAUUCAAAUACGAAAUAAAUGAUGAAUUUUGAUUUGUUUAGUAGGAUUCUUAAAUAAACUCAUUUUUCAAACAGUUAGGGAUGACAUCAAAAGUUCAAUGCAGGAUAAAAAACUUAAUUCACAUAGUUUUUUCACUGACCCCACCCCCCUCUUAACUUAGUUUGGGGAAAAUUGAUUUACCAAUAGGGUUAUAUGUAAAAAUUGAUUUUAGAUAUACAAAUCUUGUAGAAUUUUAACCCCCCCCCUCCCACUCCCAAACUAUUUGAUUUAAAUUGUUCAUCCUACAUUGAUCUUUUGAUGUCGUCCCUUACAAACAGAUGUAUUGAUAAUCAUUUUCUUAAGGUUGAUUCUUAUCAGAC
rnacentral:lncRNA from 1 species